rnacentral:rRNA from 1 species
GACGAACGCUGGCGGCGUGCUUAACACAUGCAAGUCGAACGGAAAGGCCCUGCUUUUGUUGGGUGCUCGAGUGGCGAACGGGUGAGUAACACGUGAGUAACCUGCCCUUGACUUUGGGAUAACUUCAGGAAACUGGGGCUAAUACCGGAUAGGAGCUCCUGCUGCAUGGUGGGGGAUGGAAAGUUUCGGCGGUUGGGGAUAGACUCGCGGCUUAUCAGCUUGUUGGUGAGGUAGUGGCUUACCAAGGCUGUGACGGAUAGCCGGCCUGAGAGGGGGACCGGGCACAUGGGGACUGAGGUACGGCCCAGACUGCUACGGGAGGCAGCAGUGGGGAAUCUGGCACAGUGGGCGGAAGCCUGAUGCAGCAACGCCGCGUGCGGGAUGACGGCCUUCGGGUUGUAAACCGCUGUCGCAUGUGACGAAGCGUGAGUGACGGUAAUGGGUAAAGAAGCACCGGCUAACUACGUG